GUCUACGGCCAUACCACCCUGAACGCGCCCGAUCUCGUCUGAUCUCGGAAGCUAAGCAGGGUCGGGCCUGGUUAGUACUUGGAUGGGAAAAAGCAUAUGCACCCCAGUUCACUGCAGCAU
rnacentral:rRNA from 1 species